rnacentral:rRNA from 1 species
GACGAACGCUGGCGGCGUGCUUAACACAUGCAAGUCGAACGAUGAAGCCGGAGCUUGCUCUGGUGAAUUAGUGGCGAACGGGUGAGUAACACGUGAGUAACCUGCCCUUGACUCUGGGAUAACUGCUAGAAAUGGUAGCUAAUACCGGAUACGACCCUCGGAGGCAUCUCCAGGGGGUGGAAAGAAUUUCGGUCAAGGAUGGACUCGCGGCCUAUCAGCUAGUUGGUGAGGUAACGGCUCACCAAGGCGACGACGGGUAGCCGGCCUGGGGGGGUGACCGGCCAAACUGGGACGGGGACACGGCCCAGACUCCUACGGGAGGCAGCAGUGUGGAAUAUUGCACAAUGGGCGCAAGCCUGAUGCAGCAACGCCGCGUGAGGGAUGACGGCCUUCGGGUUGUAAACCUCUUUUAGUAGGGAAGAAGCGAAAGUGACGGUACCUGCAGAAAAAGCACCGGCUAACUACGUGCCAGCCGCCGCCGUAA